rnacentral:rRNA from 1 species
CCCUUAGACGUUCUGGGCCGCACGCACGCUACACUGACCGGUGCAACAAGCAUCCGUCCUUGGCCGACAGGCCCGGGCAAUCUUUGAACGCCGGUCGUGAUGGGGAUAGACUUUUGCAAUUUUUGGUCUUCAACGAGGAAUUCCUAGUAAACGCAAGUCAUCAACUUGCAUUGAUUACGUCCCUGCCCUUUGUACACACCGCCCGUCGCACCUACCGAUUGAAUGGUCCGGUGAAGCCUCCGGAUUGGCGCGCACCUCGGUGCCGCCGAGAAGUUGGCUAAACCUUACCAUUUAGAGGAAGGUGAAGUCGUAACA